AGAUGACCUUGAGGACAAAGGAUUCCCUGCUGGGGAGGUCUAGGGGUGAGGUUGAAAGAUCCUCUCUCCUCCCCAUUUCCCUCUUCCCAGAGAGCAACAGUCCCUAGUUUCAGCCCUGAUGACACCUGAAUGGGAUUUAUAGGGCACCAGCCGCCCCAAGUGCAAGCUGCUUACAGACUAUCUCUCUUGUCUUUAGAUUGUCCCUUGAAGGGAAGUGAUGGCACAGGCUCUGAUCAGCUCUUCUGGGAACAGACAGAGAAGUGGGAAUUCCUGCCAAAGCCACAGGAUGAAUACAGCGCCAAGAACCUGAACCAGAAAAAUGCAGCAGGAAAGGAAACUGCAGUAGCCACCAUCCUGAGGCUGCUGUACAAGGAGCAUUCCUGAGACAGGGGACGUGCUCCCCAGCCCUCCUUGAGGCCUCUGCCACUGCCCUGCUUGUCUAGAAUCUCCUCCAUUCUGCUUGUGCCACAUCUUUCAGGCCUGCUCUGGGUCUGAUGUGCUGUAGAACACUUUGCUCAGGCGCUUGGGAGAUAGAGACUUCAUUACCAUCGUUUCCACCCCAAAGAACUAGGCAGCACACUGGGAAGUUGCCAAAGGAAGGGACUCCAGCCUCCCAGGAGUUAACACCAUUUCUCCCCAGCUGUCCUCCCCUUGGUGCUCCUUUUCCUCCCUCCUCCUGCUCACAGCAGGCAGGGCCUGGAACCAGGAGCCAUGCUGCUGUGCUGUUGCCAGGGGAGCUGGGAGGCAGAUCGGAGCUAUGCAGGGGAAAGGCUCGGCCUGUCAGAGUGUCUGAGAUGAACCACCGCCAUCCCCGUGCAGCUGGGCUCCAUGUGUCUCAGGGCUCUUGUUCUGUGCCUGAGAACGGUGAAGCCCAGUGAGGUUCAAGGGCACACUCGCUAUUCAUCAGUCGGGGGUUCUUGAUGGUCCUGCCUCUCCCAAGGAUGGGUUCCCCCCUUCCUCUUUCUCUCCUUCCUAGGACACAUUCCUGGGUGCCUGUGGUGAGGACUGCACACCCCCUCCUCCCCAGCCCCCCC
rnacentral:lncRNA from 1 species